rnacentral:rRNA from 1 species
UGAUCAGCCAUGCCGCGUGUGUGAAGAAGGCCUUCGGGUUGUAAACCACUUUCAGCGAGGAAGAACGCCUUGGGAUUAAUACUCGCGAGGAAAGACAUCUAUCUGACAAGAAGCACCGGCUAACUCCGUGCCAGCGCCCGCGGUAAUACGGAUGGUGCAAGCGUUAAUCGGAAUUACUGGGCGUGAAGCGCGCGUAGGUGGAUAAGUCAGCCAGGUGUGAAAGCCCCGGACUCAACCUGGGAACGGCAUCUGGAACUGCUUGGCUUGAGUGCAGGAGAGGAAGGUAGAAUUCCCGGUGUAGCGGUGAAAUGCGUAGAGAUCGGGAGGAAUACCAGUGGCGAAGGCGGCCUUCUGGACUGACACUGACACUGAGGUGCGAAAGCGUGGGUAGCAAACAGGAUUAGAUACCCUGGUAGUCCACGCCGUAAACGAUGUCAACUAGCCGUUGGGUCCCUUGAGGACUUAGUGGCGCAGCUAACGCAAUAAGUUGACCGCCUGGGGAGUACGGCCGCAAGGUUAAAACUCAAAGAAUUGACGGG